AUGUACAGCCAUACCACCCCGAACAUGCCCAAUCCUGUCUUGAUCUCGGAAGCUAAGCAGGGUCGGGUCUGGUUAGUACCUUGGAUGGGAGAGAAAAACAUAAGUUUUUCUCA
rnacentral:rRNA from 1 species